GAGCUGAGGCUCCAGCUACCGUGGAUGGAAGCAAUUCCUGAGAUCAGAGACCUGCCCCCAGGAGCAUGCGAGGAGGAGGAGAUGCAGGAGCAGACCCGAACCCAGCCUGCAGCCUGGCCCCCCACACCUACCUCGGACCCACAGACCCACCGGGAAACUCACACCGACAGGUGGCCACGGGCCGCCUUCACGUCCAAAGCCCCGUGUCUG